rnacentral:rRNA from 1 species
GAUGAACGCUGGCGGCGUGCCUAAUACAUGCGAGUCGAGCGAACGGACGAGAAGCUUGCUUUUCUGAUGUUAGCGGCGGACGGGUGAGUAACACGUGGAUAACCUACCUAUAAGACUGGGAUAACUUCGGGAAACCGGAGCUAAUACCGGAUAAUAUUUUGAACCGCAUGGUUCAAAAGUGAAAGACGGUCUUGCUGUCACUUCUAGAUGGAUCCGCGCUGCAUUAGCUAGUUGGUAAGGUAACGGCUUACCAAGGCAACGAUGCAUAGCCGACCUGAGAGGGUGAUCGGCCACACUGGAACUGAGACACGGUCCAGACUCCUACGGGAGGCAGCAGUAGGGAAUCUUCCGCAAUGGGCGAAAGCCUGACGGAGCAACGCCGCGUGAGUGAUGAAGGUCUUCGGAUCGUAAAACUCUGUUAUUAGGGAAGAACAUAUGUGUAAGUAACUGUGCACAUCUUGACGGUACCUAAUCAGAAAGCCACGGCUAACUACGUG